GAUUAACGCUAGCGGCAGGCCUAAUACAUGCAAGUUGUACGGGAUUAUUGGUAGCAAUACUGAUAUGAGAGUAGCGCACGGGUGCGUAACACGUAUGCAACCUACCUUUAACUGGGGAAUAGCUCACCGAAAGGUGAAUUAACACCGCAUAAAAUCACAGAAGGACAUCCUUUAAUGAUUAAAUCUCCGGAGGUUAAAGAUGGGCAUGCGUCCGAUUAGCUAGNGGCGGGGUAAUAGCCCACCAAGGCAACGAUCGGUAGGGGUCUGAGAGGAUGA
rnacentral:rRNA from 1 species